AGUCGAGCGARCGGGACGAGAAGCUUGCUUCUCUGAUGUUAGCGGCGGACGGGUGAGUAACACGUGGAUAACCUACCUAUAAGACUGGGAUAACUUCGGGAAACCGGAGCUAAUACCGGAUAAUAUUUUGAACCGCAUGGUUCAAAAGUGAAAGACGGUCUUGCUGUCACUUAUAGAUGGAUCCGCGCUGCAUUAGCUAGUUGGUAMGGUAACGGCUUACCAAGGCAACGAUGCAUAGCCGACCUGAGAGGGUGAUCGGCCACACUGGAACUGAGACACGGUCCAGACUCCUACGGGAGGCAGCAGUAGGGAAUCUUCCGCAAUGGGCGAAAGCCUGACGGAGCAACGCCGCGUGAGUGAUGAAGGUCUUCGGAUCGUAAAACUCUGUUAUUAGGGAAGAACAUAUGUGUAAGUAACUGUGCACAUCUUGACGGUACCUAAUCAGAAAGCCACGGCUAACUACGUGCCAG
rnacentral:rRNA from 1 species